UAGGAUUAAUAUCAGCCCAUUUUUUGGAGGAGAACCAACAAGACUGGCUAUUUGACUGGAUCCCCCAAUUGGUUUACUCCAAGGAAUAUGUUUAAUACUGUUCAAAAGAAGAGAAGGAAAGAAAAGCAAAAAGAACAGAGGAAAAGAAACCCAGAGGCAAGGAAUAAAAAAGUCCUAUACAAAAAGACUCCACCACAAAGAAGAUUGAGAGGCACAAGGAAAAUCAGCCCUGAGAAGUAAAUACUGUUGCUGUCAUCCCUAUUUUACAAAUGAGGAAACAAAAAUAGAGAAAUGAAGCAAUUUGUCCAAGAUCACUCUGCUGGCAAGCAACAGAACCAGGAGUUUAACCCAGAUCAUAGCAGAGAACAAACAAGGAGGAGGAAGAACAGGAGGAGGAGGGGGAAAAGAGGAGGAAGAAGAAAGAAAGAUUAAAGAAGAAGAAAGAAGGAAGGAGGAGGGGAGAAAAAGAAAAUAAUAAUAAUGAUAGUCUCAAUUUUAGACUAUUAUGUACCAUAUUAAGGACUUAACAUUCACUCCCUCACUCAUACAUUUUUUCAAGUUGCCGUUCUGCGGAAAACACUCUGCACAGUGGGACUAUGGGGGCACAUGGUCAGCCAAGCACCAUUCCAUAAAGGGACUAAGUGACAGAACAGACUGGAUGUGAGAUGGCAACUGUACUUCAGGUACUUUUCCAAGAAAGGGAGUUUCUUGACCCAAAAAAGAUAGGCAUUUUAUCUUAACUGAUUUUAAUGCAUAAAGAACCUGACCAACAGUUCACACAUUCCUCCUGGAGAGAAGUCAGGAUGAGGAGAUUUUAAAAAAAAGCUUUCCCUACAAUUCCAGGAAGAAAUUACUCUUCUAGGCCACCAGGAUGGUGGUGGUAAUCGAGCAAAUGCAUGCAAACCUUGAUGCAACUGCUAACUUUUACCAAAAAAGAAACUGAUUUUCUACUGACUGACUUCCUCCGUUUUGGCUUUAAAGUCAGCCAUUAGGCAUCUAUUGCUGUCAUAUUCCCCAUGGGUCUUAGGUUGGACCAUCUGUUCUUACAAACAUCCUAAAAGAAACAAUAGGCCAGGCACGGUGGCUCGUGCCUGUAAUCCCAGCACUUUGGGAGGUUGAGGCAGGUGGAUCACAAAGUCAGGAGCUCA
rnacentral:lncRNA from 1 species